rnacentral:rRNA from 1 species
AAUCAACGCUGGCGGCGUGCCUCAGACAUGCAAGUCGAACGAUUAAGACUUCCUUCGGGAAGUGUAUAAAGUGGCGCACGGGUGAGUAACACGUAAGUAAUCUGCCUUCGAGUGGGGAAUACCUUCGGGAAACCGAAGAUAAUACCGCAUAAUGCAGCGGCACCGCAAGGUGACAGUUGUUAAAGGAGCAAUCCGCUUGAAGAGGAGCUUGCGGCAGAUUAGCUAGUUGGUAAGGUAAUGGCUUACCAAGGCUACGAUCUGUAUCCGGUCUAAGAGGACGGUCGGACACACUGACACUGAAUAACGGGUCAGACUCCUACGGGAGGCAGCAGUCGGGAAUUUUGGGCAAUGGGCGAAAGCCUGACCCAGCAACGCCGCGUGAAGGAUGAAGUA